GUUGGCUGCUGUAUUCUCUCUCAGAAUCAGAUUGGCUCUCCUGUACAGUCUCUCUGUCUGAGGAGAAGAAGAGCGAGAGCAGAAUCCUGCCACAGAUAUGCCAGCCUGAGGCUGUACACAUUCAUGAGAAACAAGCUGUUGAAGAAGGAAUUCAUCUAAAAGAUUGGCUCCAGGUGAAAGGAUUCAAAAAGAACGUCACUAUGGAUGCCCAGACUGCUCACCUUGCUUUUAAUGCGAAUGAUGAAGGAAAAAAGGCUCAGUACAGCACAGGAGAAGCUAACAAUUCCUCAAACAAGCAUCCCCAUGUGUUGGGUAAAGAGCGUUUAAUCUCUGGACAGCACUACUGUGAAGUGAAGAUGGGUGAUAAUUGUACAGAAAAGCUGUCAUGGUAUAUCGGUGUGGCCAGAGAAAAUGCUCCGAGAAAAUCUACCAUUCCUUUAACUCCUCACUAUGGUUUCUGGAUUUUAUUUUAUGAAAAAGGAAGAGGUUUCCAUGUAAAAACAACUAACCCGCCAAAACAAAUAACUGUGGCAGAAUAUCUUUCUAUAGUAGGAGUGUUUCUAGACAGUGACAGACAAACUUUGUCUUUUUAUAAUGUUGAGACAAAGUCACAUCUCUACACGUUUAGUGAUGUGGUAUAAAACUGCUUUCUCCCUGUGUUCAGCCCUGGAAAAAGUGAUAAACAUGUUAUGAUAAUAUGUUGAAUAAAUACUAAGACAUGAAGGUUAAACACGACAAAUGAGGCAUACUGUAGACAAUGUAUUUUACCAAGAAGGAGGGUGAUGGAGUGCUGCAUCAGAUGACCUGGCCUGCACAAUC